rnacentral:rRNA from 1 species
CCUACGGGCGGCAGCAGUGAGGAAUAUUGGUCAAUGGACGAGAGUCUGAACCAGCCAAGUAGCGUGAAGGAUGACUGCCCUAUGGGUUGUACACUUCUUUUAUAAAGGAAUAAAACGAGGCACGUGUGCCUUUUUGCAUUUACUUUAUGAAUAAGGAUCGGCUAACUCCGUGCCAGCAGCCGCGGUAAUACGGAGGAUCCGAUCGUUAUCCGGAUUUAUUGGGUUUAAAGGGAGCGUAGAUGGGUUGUUGAGUCAGUUGUUAAAGUUUGCGGCUCAACCGUAAAAUUGCAAUUGAUACUGGCAGUCUUGAGUACAGUUGAGGUAGGCGGAAUUCGUGGUGUAGCGGUGAAAUGCUUAGAUAUCACGAAGAACCCCGAUUGCGAAGGCAGCUUACUAAACUGUGACUGACAUUGAUGCUCGAAAGUGUGGGUAUCAAACAGGAUUAGAUACCCCUGUAGUC